rnacentral:rRNA from 1 species
GUGUCAGCCGCCGCGGUAAUACGUAGGUGGCGAGCGUUGUCCGGAAUCACUGGGCGUAAAGGGCGCGUAGGCGGGUGAGCAAGUCAGGUGUAAAAACUAUCGGCUCAACCGGUAAGUAGCACUUGAAACUGUUCAUCUUGAGUACUGGAGAGGGAAGCGGAAUUCCUAGUGUAGCGGUGAAAUGCGUAGAGAUUAGGAGGAACACCAGUGGCGAAGGCGGCUUCCUGGCCAGCAACUGACGCUGAGGCGCGAAAGCGUGGGGAGCAAACAGGAUUAGAUACCCUGGUAGUCCACGCCGUAAACGAUGGAUACUAGGUGUAGGUGGUGAAAGAACCAUCUGUGCCGGAGUUAACACAAUAAGUAUCCCGCCUGGGGAGUACGGCCGCAAGGUUGAAACUCAAAGAAAUUGACGG